UGUGUGUUAGUGGAAGCGUCUGGAAAGGCGCGCGAUACAGGGUGACAGCCCCGUACACAAAAAUGCACAUGCUGUGAGCUCGAUGAGUAGGGCGGGACACGUGGUAUCCUGUCUGAAUAUGGGGGGACCAUCCUCCAAGGCUAAAUACUCCUGACUGACCGAUAGUGAACCAGUACCGUGAGGGAAAGGCGAAAAGAACCCCGGCGAGGGGAGUGAAAAAGAACCUGAAACCGUGUACGUACAAGCAGUGGGAGCACGCUUAGGCGUGUGACUGCGUACCUUUUGUAUAAUGGGUCAGCGACUUAUAUUCUGUAGCAAGGUUAACCGAAUAGGGGAGCCGAAGGGAAACCGAGUCUUAACUGGGCGUUAAGUUGCAGGGUAUAGACCCGAAACCCGGUGAUCUAGCCAUGGGCAGGUUGAAGGUUGGGUAACACUAACUGGAGGACCGAACCGACUAAUGUUGAAAAAUUAGCGGAUGACUUGUGGCUGGGGGUGAAAGGCCAAUCAAACCGGGAGAUAGCUGGUUCUCCCCGAAAGCUAUUUAGGUAGCGCCUCGUGAAUUCAUCUCCGGGGGUAGAGCACUGUUUCGGCAAGGGGGUCAUCCCGACUUACCAACCCGAUGCAAACUGCGAAUACCGGAGAAUGUUAUCACGGGAGACACACGGCGGGUGCUAACGUCCGUCGUGAAGAGGGAAACAACCCAGACCGCCAGCUAAGGUCCCAAAGUCAUGGUUAAGUGGGAAACGAUGUGGGAAGGCCCAGACAGCCAGGAUGUUGGCUUAGAAGCAGCCAUCAUUUAAAGAAAGCGUAAUAGCUCACUGGUCGAGUCGGCCUGCGCGGAAGAUGUAACGGGGCUAAACCAUGCACCGAAGCUGCGGCAGCGACGCUUAUGCGUUGUUGGGUAGGGGAGCGUUCUGUAAGCCUGCGAAGGUGUGCUGUGAGGCAUGCUGGAGGUAUCAGAAGUGCGAAUGCUGACAUAAGUAACGAUAAAGCGGGUGAAAAGCCCGCUCGCCGGAAGACCAAGGGUUCCUGUCCAACGUUAAUCGGGGCAGGGUGAGUCGACCCCUAAGGCGAGGCCGAAAGGCGUAGUCGAUGGGAAACAGGUUAAUAUUCCUGUACUUGGUGUUACUGCGAAGGGGGGACGGAGAAGGCUAUGUUGGCCGGGCGACGGUUGUCCCGGUUUAAGCGUGUAGGCUGGUUUUCCAGGCAAAUCCGGAAAAUCAAGGCUGAGGCGUGAUGACGAGGCACUACGGUGCUGAAGCAACAAAUGCCCUGCUUCCAGGAAAAGCCUCUAAGCAUCAGGUAACAUCAAAUCGUACCCCAAACCGACA
rnacentral:rRNA from 1 species